CGGUGCAACAUAGCAAAAUCGGAAGGGACAUUUGAAUUUGUAACUGGUUUGGUUGUGCAUCAGUCAUUCGAGGAUUUGCAACUAUAUAUAUAUACUGUCUGAAAUACGCGUGACAAGCCUCCUCACAAAUGGGAUAAUGUCUCAGUUCAACAUGUCAGCACAGCAUGGAGUAAAGAGGGGAUUUUCUAGCACUGCCCUCUACUCUGUUGUCACAGAAGUUGUGCAUACUGGGAAGUUUUCAACGACCACGUGUGACAUCAACACACAUUUGAGGCAGUGUUUGAAGCAUGCCCCAGAGCGAAGGAAGCAAUAACUCUACUAUAUGAGAACUCUACUAUAUAUAUGUUAAUAUAAUCAGGUCAUGCUAACUAUGUGGCAAAUUUAAAUUCUGCACCGAUUGCAAAGUUUUCGUAGGACAAUCUUGCAAUUGGUGCCGAAUUUAAAUUUUAAAUUUUGAGGAACCUUCCUCAAAAUUUUGUUUCACAUAGCAAUGUCUACACUAAGGAGUUUUUAACCCAGGCUAUGCUAACCCAGGUUAUCUUUAAUCUGAAUUAAUGUCAGGUAGCGUCUACAUUUAAAAAGUUACAUCAUGUUCCUUGAUCAUUGUUCCGCACUGUGACGGUAUUCUAUUUCCAUUUUAUUUUCGUGUUUGUAUGCUCUGUCUUGUAUGUUUUGAACGCGGGGUAGCAUGACGUAGCAUAUCUACAUUAAAUUUCAUCCCGGGUUAUGUGUGGUUAACCCAAUUUGAUAUCACGAUCGAGGUUUAAUGUGUGUGUGUGUGUGCUAACCCCUGUUUAAAGUUAAACCAGAGGCAAGGUUCUAAUGUAGACACUAGUUAAAAAACCUAAUGUAGACGUAGUAUUACACAUAUAUAUGUAAUUAAGUCUGUCCGGUUUUGUUACCAAUUCAAAUAUAUAUACACAUUUUGCAUAGUAUUGGUCGAAUGUACUCAGACCAAAUUAGUAACUCGGUGUAUUGCAUGCACAUUAAUUGUAACAUACACUGGAUGAAUUCUCAGGUAUUGCUGAAAUUAUUUUUGUUUAUAUACUCAUAUAUUAUUGUGGUUAUAUAAUUGUAAAGAUGUUCUCUUCUUGCAUUUUAUAAUGAAAUGACUGUUUUGUAAUG